rnacentral:rRNA from 1 species
CCUACGGGUGGCAGCAGUAGGGAAUCUUUCACAAUGUGCGAAAGCCUGAUGGAGCAACGCCGCGUGCAGGAUGAAGGCCUUCGGGUUGUAAACUGCUUUUAUAAGCGAGAAAUAUGAUGGUAACUUAUGAAUAAGGAUCGGCUAACUACGUGCCAGCAGCCGCGGUCAUACGUAGGAUCCGAGCAUUAUCCGGAGUGACUGGGGGUAAAGAGUUGCGUAGGUGGCAUAAUAAGUAGCUAGUGAAAUCUGGUGGCUCAACCAUUCAGACUAUUAGCUAAACUGUUAAGCUCGAGACCGUUAGGGGUAACUGGAAUUUCUAGUGUAGGAGUGAAAUCCGUAGAUAUUAGAAGGAACACCGAUAGCGUAGGCAGGUUGCUGGGACGGUUCUGACACUAAGGCACGAAAGCGUAGGGAGCAAACGGGAUUAGAUACCCCUGUAGUC